GGAAGGAUCAUUACCGAGUGAGGGCCCUCUGGGUCCAACCUCCCACCCGUGUUUAUUUUACCUUGUUGCUUCGGCGGGCCCGCCUUAACUGGCCGCCGGGGGGCUUACGCCCCCGGGCCCGCGCCCGCCGAAGACACCCUCGAACUCUGUCUGAAGAUUGUAGUCUGAGUGAAAAUAUAAAUUAUUUAAAACUUUCAACAACGGAUCUCUUGGUUCCGGCAUCGAUGAAGAACGCAGCGAAAUGCGAUACGUAAUGUGAAUUGCAAAUUCAGUGAAUCAUCGAGUCUUUGAACGCACAUUGCGCCCCCUGGUAUUCCGGGGGGCAUGCCUGUCCGAGCGUCAUUGCUGCCCUCAAGCACGGCUUGUGUGUUGGGCCCCGUCCUCCGAUCCCGGGGGACGGGCCCGAAAGGCAGCGGCGGCACCGCGUCCGGUCCUCGAGCGUAUGGGGCUUUGUCACCCGCUCUGUAGGCCCGGCCGGCGCUUGCCGAUCAACCCAAAUUUUUAUCCAGGUUGACCUCGGAUCAGGU
rnacentral:rRNA from 1 species